rnacentral:rRNA from 1 species
UGUCCAGACUCCUACGGGAGGCAGCAGUGGGGAAUAUUGCACAAUGGGGGAAACCCUGAUGCAGCGACGCCGCGUGAAGGAUGAAGUAUUUCGGUCUGUAAACUUCUAUCAGCAGGGAAGAAAAUGACGGUACCUGACUAAGAAGCCCCGGCUAACUACGUGCCAGCAGCCGCGGUAAUACGUAGGGGGCAAGCGUUAUCCGGAUUUACUGGGUGCAAAGGGAGCGUAGACGGUAUGGCAAGUCUGAUGUGAAAACCCGGGGCUCAACCCCGGGACUGCAUUGGAAACUGCCGAACUAGAGUGUCGGAGAGGCAAGUGGAAUUCCUAGUGUAGCGGUGAAAUGCGUAGAUAUUAGGAGGAACACCAGUGGCGAAGGCGGCCUGCUGGGCUUUUACUGACGCUGAGGCUCGAAAGCAUGGGUAGCAAACAGGAUGAGAUA